CGAAUACAUUACUGAAGAUCAAGGACGCGCCAUUGUCGCCGGCGGGCGUGGUCUAUGUUAUAGUUGUAUAUAAACUGGAGCAACUCUCAGAUCAGCAUCACUUGAGAGUAGCCAUCCCAAGAAACUUCACAAUGUUCUUCAGAUUCAUCGCUUUCUUCGCCCUGCUGGCGGUAGCCUUCGCCAACCCCAAGCCGGAUCCCCAAGUUCUGGCUUACACCGCUCCAGCUGUCUUCCCAGCUGCAGCCAGCGCAUAUUAUGGCUCCGGUUACUACGCUAACCCUUACGUGGGCGCAGCCUACCCAUACGCAUACAACUACUUCGUCAAAUAGAUUGUAAACAAACGUACUUAUGACAACCUCUAUCGACCCAAAGCGUGAAAUAUGUCCAUUAAUUAAUUAAUUUCUUAAUAAAUUUGAAAAGUGU